GGGCCCGUAGCUCAGCCCGGACAGAGCACUCGGCUUCUAAACCUAAAAGUUCUCCAUAAGGAGAAAAAAGGUAAGAGAAAGCCUAUUUCAGGUUUUCGAACGAAGAUACCGAGUCGUCGAGGGUUCAAAUCCCUCCGGGUCCG
rnacentral:tRNA from 1 species